rnacentral:rRNA from 1 species
UACAGAGGGGGCUAGCGUUAUUCGGAAUUAUUGGGCGUAAAGGGCGCGUAGGCGGCCAUGCGUGUCUUCCGUGAAAUCCCUCGGCUUAACUGAGGACGUGCGGAAGAAACUGCAAGGCUCGAGUCCGGGAGAGGGGGGGUGGAAUUCCCAGUGUAGCGGUGAAAUGCGUAGAUAUUGGGAGGAACACCGGUGGCGAAGGCGGCCCCCCUGGACCGGUACUGACGCUGAGGCGCGAAAGCGUGGGGAGCAAACAGGG